CAGUGUCUCUGUGUCGGUUGUAGAAAAAAAAAAGGGACCUCCUCGUCGGACUGAGCAUGGCCCCAUGCACACACACACACACACACACACACACACACACACACACACACACACACACACAGAGGCCCCCCCCCCCCAGAGCCCAGGGAGGAGGUCCUGUGUGUGUGUGUGUGUGUGUGUGUGUGUGUGUGUGUGUGUGUGUGUGUUAGUCAGUGUGUGUGUGUGUGUGUGUGUGUGUGUUAGUCAGUGUGUGUGUGUGCGUGUGUGUGCGUGUGCGUGUGUGUGUGUGUGUGUGUAUGUGUUAGCGUGCGUGCGUGCGUUAUUCGAUUGCCUGGUAACCAUGGUUACUUAUAUUCACACUGGUUUCAAUAAUACAUUUGAUGGUAUUUCCCAUCGUUGCUGAGCAGAGAGUUUUGUUCUAAAGUUCAGUGAUUGAAACAAUAAAAGCCCGGGCUAUGGAAGUGUUCCGGUACCACUGUCAUGCACCUCCCCGAUGUCAAGUGGACCGGGUGGAAUUCACUGCGGGUCUCUCUUCUCAUAUCCAUCUCACCAAAGAUAUUGUAUUACUGUCCUUCUCAACACUCUCUGAUCUCACUAAAAGGCUGGCAGCACAACACCGCAAUAACGACGAGAUGCGCCGUGCGUAGAGACGAAAGAAUACCCACGUUGAAUUUGCAACAAAUGAUUCUAAAUCUGCCCAUAUAUGGACACGCCAGAAUUGUUGCAUCUGUGGCUGCAGGUAAUUUAAUCACAAAGAAGUAUACUCUACGGGGCUAUUUUCAUCAUUAGGGUUAUUAUUAUUAUUUUAAUUUUUUUAGACGGCACAGCGAUCCGGGGCUAUUCCCAAAAGAUCCGUGGCUAUAGCCUCGAAUGCUCGAAUGCUGUAGCCUCGGAUGGGUUCUUCAAUCUGAUUGGUAGUCACACUGGAGAUUAGUUUUCCCCCCCUUUUCGGGGAUAAUGUUCCCCGUUUUGAUCUCUGACGUUUGGUUCACUUUUUUAUCCACACCUUGUGUCCUCAGCGUCUCUGUGAAAAUUAUAGUCUCUCUCGCUCUUGCUCUCGCUCUGAGUCUGAUGACACACGUGAACACAAAAAUGCAUAUGUGAACACACACACGCGUAUAUUACCACGCACACACAUGCAAGCGCACACACGCAUAUAUGAAUUAACAUAAAGACACACACAUAUAAACAUACUAUACUAUAUAGGAACCCAAACACGCAGGCACACAAACACGUGUAUGUGAACACAAACAAACACGUAUAUAUGAACACACACACGCGCGUACAUAUUAUAAACACUCAAAUAUACACGCAGACACACACAUGCAAACGCGCGCACACAUGCACACGCCGCACGCGCAUCUAUGAACACACACUUACUCAAGUUAUGAACACACACACUUACUCACAUAUGAACACAGACACGCACAGACUACACACACAUGUAUAUAUAAACACACACACACACACACUGUGUUUUGAUGAUUUAUAUUCAUGUACUCAACUAUAAUCCAAAUGCUACAUUUUCUGGGGCUUCUUAAAGUUGAUCUUGAUUAACCAUGAAAGGAA